CGGGAGGCAGCAGUGGGGAAUAUUGCACAAUGGGGGAAACCCUGAUGCAGCAACGCCGCGUGGAGGAUGACACAUUUCGGUGCGUAAACUCCUUUUAUAUGGGAAGAUAAUGACGGUACCAUAUGAAUAAGCACCGCUAACUCC
rnacentral:rRNA from 1 species